CCUACGGGAGGCUGCAGUGGGGAAUAUUGGACAAUGGGGGCAACCCUGAUCCAGCCAUGCCGCGUGUGUGAAGAAGGCCCUCGGGUUGUAAAGCACUUUCAGUGAGGAAGAACGCCUGGUGGUUAAUACCCAUCAGGAAAGACAUCACUCACAGAAGAAGCACCGGCUAACUCCGUGCCAGCAGCCGCGGUAAUACGGAGGGUGCGAGCGUUAAUCGGAAUUACUGGGCGUAAAGCGCGCGUAGGUGGCUUGAUAAGCCGGUUGUGAAAGCCCCGGGCUCAACCUGGGAACGGCAUCCGGAACUGUCAAGCUAGGGUGCAGGAGAGGAAGGUAGAAUUCCCGGUGUAGCGGUGAAAUGCGUAGAGAUCGGGAGGAAUACCAGUGGCGAAGGCGGCCUUCUGGACUGACACUGACACUGAGGUGCGAAAGCGUGGGUAGCAAACAGGAUUAGAUACCCCGGUAGUC
rnacentral:rRNA from 1 species